AUUCCUGACUGCAGAUAAAUCUGCUGACAGAAACUUAAUAAUAUGAAAAUCGAGCAAUCGAUAAUAAACAUACAAAAAAAAAAACAUGAAAUAAGUAUUAUUUUAUAAAGUGUGUUGACUAAACGUACCUUUCGUUAAAAUAGACAUUUUUGAUCAUCCCUGACGGCAGAAAAGUCUGCUGACAGGAACGUAGAAAGGUCACAAUCAAACAAUCUAUAAUAAAAAGCGAAAAAAAAAACUUGAAAUAGGCGCAGUAAUUUAAAUACUUUUAUAUAAGCGUACCUUUCGGUUUAAAUUUCAUUAUUUUGAACCACUUCCAACCACAAUCAAGCAAUCGAAGAAAAACACACGUUCAAAAAAAAAGUGAAAUAAGCAUAGUUAUUUAAAUGUUGCUGAUUAAACGGACCUUUCAGUUAAAAUAGAAAUUUUUGAUCAUCCCUGACGGCAAAAAAGUCUGUUGACAGGAACGUUGAAAUUUCACAAACACGAAAUCGAUAAUAAACCCACAAAAAAAGAUGAAAUAAGCAUUGUUUUAUAAAGUAUGUUGAAUUAACGUACCUUUCGGUUUAAAUUGAAAUUUUGUUGAAUUUCCUUGACGGCAGGAAAGUCAGCUGACAGGAACGUAGGAAUCGAUAGUAAACACACGGAAAGGAACGUGAAAUAAGCAUAGUUAUUUAAAUGUUGUUAUAUAAAGGUACCUUUCGUUUUAAAUUGAAUAUUUUGAAAAUCUCUGACUGCAGAUAGAUCUGCUGACAGAAACUUAGAAAUAUGACAAUCGAGCAAUCGAUAAUAAAUACACACAAAAAAAAAAAAACAUGAAAUAAGCACUGUUAUAUAAAGUGUUUUGAAUAAACGUACCUUUAAGAUUAACUGAACAUUAUGAACAUCCUUGAGAAAAGUGUGCCUGAAAAGUCCUCCAGAAAAGUCUGCUGACAAGAGCGUAAAAAUUUUACAAUCAAGUAAUCGAAAAUAAUCACACGUUAAAAAAAAAGAAGUGAAAUAAGCAUCGUUAGUUAAAUGUUAUUGAUUAAACGUACCUUUCGUUUUCAAUAGAAAUUUUUGAACGUCCAUGACGGUAGAAAAAUUUGCUGACAGGAACAUAGAAAUUUCACACUACAGAAAUCGAUAAUAAUCCUACGAAAAAAUAAAAAGGAAAUAAGCAUUAUUUAAUAAAGUAUGUUGAAUAAACGUACCUUUCGGUUUAAAUUGAAAUUGUUGAAUUUCCUUAACGGCAGAAAAGUCUGCUGACUAGAGCGUAGAAAUUUCACAAUCAAGCAAUCGAUAAUAAACACACGGAAAAAUUAAUAUAAGCAUAGUGAUAUAAAGUGUGGUGAAUAACCGUACCCUCCGGUUUAAAUUGAAUAUUUUGAACAUCCUUGACGACAGAAAAAACUGCUGACAGGUACGUAAAAAUUCCACAAUCAAGGAAUCAAAAAUAAACACACGUUCAAAAAAGGUAAAAUAAGCAUAGUUAUUUAAAUCUUGUUGAUUAAACGUACCUUUCGUUUUUGAUAGAGAUUUUUGAACGUCCUUGGCGGCAGAAAAGUCUGCUGAAAGGCACGUAGAAAUUUCACAAUCCAGAAAUCGAUAAUAAAUAAACGGAAAAUAAGCGAACUAAGCAAAGAUAUAAAAAUUAUGUUUAAUAAAUGUACCUUUCAUUUUAAAUUGAAGUUAUUGAAUCUCCUUGACGGCAUAAAAGUCUGCUGACUAGAGCGUAGAAAUUUCACAAUCAAGAAAUCGAAAAUAAUCACAUGUUCAAAAAAAACGUGAAAUAAUCAUAGUUAAAUGUUGUUGAUUAAAUGUACUUUUCGUUUUCAAUAGAAAUUUUUGAACAUCCUUGAUGGCAGGAAAGCCUGCUGACAGGAACGUAGAAAUUUCACAAUCAAGCAAUUGAUAAUAA